rnacentral:sRNA from 1 species
UCCUAUCACUUUACACUCACUGUUUUGAAUACAGCAGGCACCAAAUUAGGAACUGGCUGAUUCUAGUCGAACUCCGAUGUCUCAGACUGGGGCUUGUAUGAAGGGAAGUGGAGGAGAUGCCAUGGCUGUUAAUGACCACUAGAGGCUCUCAGGGCUGGGCAGGGUAUGGGGGCUGUGUAUAUGUGAUCUCCCACUACCCCCCACCUGGCCAGAGCUAAAAUAAUAAAAUGCUGAGCUCACUGUUCCCCCACCCUCUCCCCCGGCACCGGGCUCCUCCUGCUGCUGGGACAGUGCUCUAGUAGAACAGACAGACCUACUGACACAGGGGAGGUGAGAAGGGAGGUGACCACCAGGACUGGUAGGUGGGGAAGACAGGGGGCUUAUGGAUGAGAGCCCGGUGGGAGAUGGGAGGAGAAGAGUGGCUCCUAUGGGGAAUGAUGUGGAGUGUGUCCCUGUCUCUGUCACUCAGUGUAUAUUUCUGCCACUGUGCCAUCCUACCCCUUAACUGUGUAUAGUUUACAUUGUCGAUGUGUGUCUCACAUACUUUCUGGAUCUUUCAUAUUCAGCAUGGUGUGUAUGUAUAGCUCCUUGUGUGUAUCUUAUAUUGUAUAAAAUUGUGCGAGUUUAAUAUUCCCACUGUUUUUAAAGAAACUUUACCCCAUUUACA